rnacentral:rRNA from 1 species
GACGAACGCUGGCGGCGUGCCUAACACAUGCAAGUCGAACGCAGGGGGGACGGGGGAGUAACACGUGGGUAACCUCCCAUAAGAGUGGAUAAAACGUGGAAACAGGUGCUAAAACCGAUACGGAUGGAUGGACCCGCGGGGCAUUAGCUAGUUGGUGAGGUAAGGGCUCACCAAGGCCACGAGGCAUAGCUGGUCUGAGAGGAUGAUCAGCCACACUGGGACUGAGACACGGCCCAGACUCCUACGGGAGGCAGCAGUGGGGAAUAUUGGGCAAUGGGCGAAAGCCUGACGGAGCCAUGCCGCGUGUAUGAAGAAGGUUUUCGGGUUGUAAAGCACUUUUAGCAGGGAGGCGUUACCUACACAGAAAGCACCGGCUAACUACGUGCCAGCAGCCGCGGUAAUAC